rnacentral:rRNA from 1 species
UACGUACCGUCCAAACGUUAUUCGGAAUUACUGGGCUUAAAGGGUUUGUAGGCGGCGCUGUUAGUCGGGUGUGAAAUCCCUCGGCUUAACCGGGGAACUGCAUCUGAUACUGGAUGGCUUGAGUUCGGGAGAGGGAUGCGGAAUUCCAGGUGUAGCGGUGAAAUGCGUAGAUAUCUGGAGGAACACCGGUGGCGAAGGCGGCAUCCUGGACCGAUACUGACGCUGAGGAGCGAAAGCCAGGGGAGGCAA